rnacentral:misc_RNA from 1 species
GAUGAAGAACGCAUCGAAAUGCGAUAAGUAAUGCGAAUUGCAGAAUUCCAGUGAGUCAUCGAAUCUUUGAACGCACAUUGCGCCCUUUGGUAUUCCGAAGGGCAUGCCUGUUCGAGCGUCAUUAUCACCCCUCAAGCCCCCGGCUUGGUGUUGGACGGUUUGGCGGAGGCCCUCCGGGGCCCUUGCCCCUCCCAAAGACAAUGACGGCGGCCUCGUUGGACCCCCGGUACACUGAGUUCUUCACGGGACACGUACUGGAGUAAGGGUGCGCGGGGCACGGUCUGCCUCCCCUCAGGGAGAAUCUUCUUUUACAAGGUUGACCUCGGAUCAGGUAGGGAUACCCGCUGAACUUAAGCAUAUCAAUAAGCGGAGGA